AAAAGGGCCCUUUUCAGGGCCACCUACUUUGUCAUACGAAAGGCUG
rfam:Otolemur garnettii contig059044, whole genome shotgun sequence.